CAACGCAGCCCACUAUCAGCCGUGCAAUAUCACAGACAAUUGAUGCACUGGCUGACCCAGAAGUAAUCUGCCAGUUCGUGGCUUUCCCUCACACCCAGCGUGAAGUGCAGCAAAAACAGGCAGAGUUCAUGCAAGUAACUCAGUUUCCCGGUGUUGUGGGAGUGAUUGAUGGUACUCAUAUAAGAAUUGUGUCUCCUCAUGUCGAUGAACAUGUAUAUGUGAACAGGAAACGCUAUCACAGCAUAAAUGUGCAAGUAGUAUUUGAUGCUCACUAUAAGAUUCUUGACAUUGUGGCAAGGUGGCCUGGCUCAGUCAACGAUGCAAGAAUACUAGAUAAGUCAGCACUCAAACUGAUGUUUGAGGAACAACAUGUACCUGCAGGAUGCUACCUUCCCGGGGACAGUGGCUAUCCCUGUAAGCAGUGGCUCCUCACUCCUUACCUUCGCCCUCAAACUGUUGCACAAGCUAAUUAUAACAGUUCCAGUACCUUACGAUGCAGCCGAGGGGACUGACGCCACCACCACCACUGCCACCACCGCCACAACAAGGGUUAUUCAAAUGGGGAACAUGCUUCAGGUGUUGCCCCAAGAUGCCUCAGCCCCGCAGCCCCACUUCCCCAUGAUAGUGCAGGCAGGGAAUGUCAUACAGGUUGUUCCAGCUGACAACACGCAGGUAUUAGGGGCAGAAGUCGUUGGAGUUGGUCGGGUCAUGCAAGUGGUCGGAGUCCCAGGCUUUCCCCCGACCCCAGCCCCAGACCCCUGCCCCAGCCACCCCUCUCCCUGUGACCCCUGCCCAGUCAUCCCUCACCCCCUCCUGCCCCCUGCGGUGCUGCCAGCGGGGGUGAUGGGAGGUGGAGGUGGGCCACACACACCUGGGUUAGCUGUGGCUUGGCUUAUCUCCCUCCUCAGCAGCAAAUCCCGAGGAUCAACGAGGACAUGGUGGACCCAGAGAUUGCAGCAGCAGCAAGAGAGAGAGAGAGAAGCAAGAGAGGAGGGAGAGGAAGGAGAGGAGGAGGAGAGAGAGGGAGGCCAGGAGGGAGGCACGUCAGAGAGAGAGGGAGAGGAAGAGGUUGAUUCUGUUACAACAACAACUGCAACAACAACAACAGUUAGUCAGUGAGGAGGGGGAGGGGCCGUCCUCUGAUGCUGAGGAUGAGGUAUUGUUCAGGGAGGCCAUGUCGGAGGUGCCGGUGGUGGGGUCGCCAGUUCCGGAGUACGAGGUGGAGGAGGAAAAGGAAGAGGAGGACGAGGAGGAGGCACGGAUAAGGAAGAAGAAAAGAUUAUUACCUGUAGCCCUCCCUCCAGCUGAUAAGGGGAUAUUAAGGAGCCCUUCCUACAGGUUCGUUCGAUGCAAGGAGUUGGCACAGGAGGCGUCCGAGGCUGUGUAGAGCGGCCGUCUGAACCUGGUGCCACAGCUUACUAUGUUCAACAGAUGCCUGAAGGAAGUGUGUGUAAGGGAGGAUAAAGAGAUCAUGCUGGCCUAUGCAGACGAUGUCGCUGUCGUGACAGGAAGCCAACAAGAUCUUCAAGAGGCCAUGACAAGAUGGAAUGAUGUUUUAAAUAGGGAAGGAAUGAGAAUGAACAAACAAAAAACUUAUUUACUAGUGGACAAGCAACAAGUGAUGGUGUGGCUCUGAGCCACUGUAGUAGGGAUGUUAUGGUUUAAGUGUAGGAAGUUGCAAAUGCUCACCUAACAAUUGCACCUUAGUAGAAAAACACAAACAGGAAGUUUAUGCAAGUUUUUAUCCUUAUAUAAAAUGUUGUAUUGCAUCAAACCUCCAUACAUUACUGUCUCUAUCCAGUAUGAGACCGGUGUUCAGGAAGCACAAGCAUGUGCUGAAUAACAAGAAGCCGGCAUUGGUGAAGGUGACAACAUUUCAUCUAUUUAUACAUACUUUUUAUUAUUAAAGCUUAUCUUAUAAUUAUUUCUGAAGAGAUUGACUAAUUUUUGUAGUAUUUAUGACUUAGAACUACGAGUAUGAUAAAGCUAUGAAUUGAUAUAAUUCCUGAUUUGUUUUAUCUUUUCAUUAUCCUUCCUUUGUUAAUUGAGCAUUUUAUAUUACUUAGCUUAAAAAUGCAAGAACGGUUCAGAAGUAUCCAACCUUGGGCUAAGGGCCAAAAUUAUGGUAUCAUUCAAAAUGUCCUUCAAAGAAAGCCCUCUGUAAUCCAACACACUUAGCCCAUUAAUCCUUCCAUUUCUCAUCAAUUUGUUCAACAUUCAUAUUUUUCCCUUAUAGGGUUGAACAAUUUUCAUGGGUUCAGAGCAAAAGGCUUCCUCAUUCCUCCCCAAGGUAUUCUCGGAUGGUAAGCAGGUUUGACUCUGGAGCAAACCUGACCAAGGGCUACUGCCCAAGGCUACAGAGGUUCCUCUCCCUGAGGCUGAAUGCACCAUGUGAGAUGGUUCUGUUAUGUGGAUGAAUGUCAUGGUGGAUAGCAGUGCCACCACAUUCCUACAAUCAUCCAUCACUCCACUGCUCAAACGCUUCUGCAACCAAUGAUAGGUAUGCUGCCACAUUCUGCAUGGUCUCCUUGGCUCUCAGAUAAGGAUACUGUCAACAGGUUUGGGAUUGCCAAAAAAUCAUAAGGAGCUAUGUCUGAAAAGUCCAGAGAGAGAGAGAGAGAGAAAGAAUGAGCAAGAGAAAGAGUAGGAUGAAGCAAAGGAAGAGUCAAGAGGGAGGAAGAGAGAGUAGGACAAGAAAAAACAGAACAAAUAAAUCCCCUACACGUCUUGUCUCCAUUCACACAAGCCAUGAAAAGCUUGUCCAUCCCUGAGUGCUCAGAAGCAGUGUUCCACUGAUGAUGUGGAAACUUGAGACACCCAAUCAUUUAAUAGGCUUUAGUAGGUUUUGUCACCAGUCUUCUGUGUGUCACUGACUACAUUUUGAAAUUUUUAUCUGUUCUAUUUAAUUUUGUGUGUAUGUACACAAUGUUUAUGGUCAAUAAACUAUUUAUAAAACUAUUUAUCUGUGUGAGUAAGAUAAAAGCAGUUAUUGUUAUUAUUAUUAUUAUUAUUAUUAUUAUUAUUAUUAUUAUUACACAUUUUCCUCCUUGUAUUUAAAUAUUAUUAUUAUUAUUAUUAUUAUUAUUAUUAUUAUCAUGAAUUGUUCUUGUUUAUAAAUAAAAUACUGUAACUGA